AUUGAACGCUGGCGGCAGGCCUAACACAUGCAAGUCGAACGAGUGGCGGACGGGUGAGUAAUGUCUGGGAAACUGCCUGAUGGAGGGGGAUAACUACUGGAAACGGUAGCUAAUACCGCAUACCAUCGGAUGUGCCCAGAUGGGAUUAGCUAGUAGGGGGGGUAACGGCUCACCUAGGCGACGAUCCCUAGCUGGUCUGAGAGGAUGACGAGCCACACUGGAACUGAGACACGGUCCAGACGCCUACGGGAGGCAGCAGUGGGAAAUAUUGAAGAAGGGGCGCAAGCCUGAUGCAGCCAUGCCGAGUGUAUGAAGAAGGAAUUCGGGUUGUAAAGUACUUUCAGCGGGGAGGCGUUACCCGCAGAAGAAGCACCGGCUAACUCCGUGCCAGCAGCCGCGGUAAUUC
rnacentral:rRNA from 1 species